rnacentral:rRNA from 1 species
AUUGAACGCUGGCGGCAGGCCUAACACAUGCAAGUCGAGCGGGGUUUUCGGACCUAGCGGCGGACGGGUGAGUAAUGCGUAGGAAGCUGCCCGAUAGAGGGGGAUACCAGUUGGAAACGACUGUUAAUACCGCAUAAUGUCUACGGACCAAAGUGUGGGACCUUCGGGCCACAUGCUAUCGGAUGCGCCUACGUGGGAUUAGCUAGUUGGUGAGGUAAUGGCUCACCAAGGCGACGAUCUCUAGCUGGUUUGAGAGGAUGAUCAGCCACACUGGAACUGAGACACGGUCAAGACUCCUACGGGAGGCAGCAGUGGGGAAUAUUGGACAAUGGGCGGAAGCCUGAUCCAGCCAUGCCGCGUGUGUGAAGAAGGCCUUCGGGUUGUAAAGCACUUUCAGCGAGGAGGAAGGGUGGUGUGUUAAUAGCACAUCAUUUUGACGUUACUCGCAGAAGAAGCACCGGCUAACUCUGUGCCAGCAGCCGCCGUAAUAC